rnacentral:misc_RNA from 1 species
UCAGUUUAUGGCUGAUCGUCGAACGGAUAGCAACAUCUUAUGAACGUUUCAUAAUGUCAGAAGCCGAUGAUGCUUCGAGUAAAGCCGCUAACCUAACAGCGGUCGAAGCAAUUUCGGCUAAGUUGGCAGAAGUAACUCGGUUAGCUGAGAAACUGGAUGCAAAAUUGUGUGAAGCUGGUGCAAGGACUCAACCAGUACCAAUAUCAACUUCGGCAUUACCAAUUUCUUCAACUUUAACAUCAACAACUACUACAUUAGCACGUAUCUCAUCUCCAAUUGUUUUAACUAAAUCCACUACGACUACUACGACAACUUCAUCAAUCACUGCUGCAUCUAUCGGUGAAACAAUUCCGACAUUUGUUUCUUCAAACGAUUUUGUUUCAACAUCGAUCAGUGCAAACCCUGCCGACGCUGCCGCCGAUGUUUCCAAUUUAACUGUUUCUAAUUUUGGAUUAUUAUCAUCUACUACGUCUUCGUCGUCUUCGUCGUCGUCGUCUGGAGCUAUAGUAGUUUCGCAUGUUGAAGAUACUAAAACUUCAUCGGCAGUUUCGUCCGUUCCUACUGGUAGUUUUCCAUCGAUGAUGGCUUCCAAUACCUCGUCGAUGAUCACCGAUGAUGUCGCUGAAAAAAAAGAAAUCGAGGACGUUGAAAAAUUGAACGAAGAGAGCACGAACGAGGAUGUCAAUGUUGACGGUUACGUGACAGCUACGGAAUGUUCGAUCACGCCUACGGCAAGAUCUAGAAGUGAAUCUUUCGUGACAACUCCGGAAUGUGAAGAUGUAGUUUCACCAAUAAUACCAACAACCUCUCCUACUUCAGCUUGGUGGAAAUCGGAAGAAGAAUCAAAAGAUACGGAAAUAAUAAUACCAGUUGAAAUAGAAAAAUCUGAUUUAUCGUUGCAAAGUUCGAAAAUGGAUGAAGAAGAAAAACCAGGGUUGCUACCUAUAGGAAAAAUCGUUACCAUUGAAAAGAGUACUGAGGAGAAAUCUGGAAAGAUCGUAAAGGAGGUCACAGAAACGACUACUUUACGUGUCUCACAUGACACUCAUUUAGGGGUAGCUUCUUAUAAAGUUACCUCUAACACGUUGGAAGAUCAUAGACAAAAUGUUGAUGUCAAGAAGAUGCAAGAUUCGAAUCAUAUUUUAAUCGAAGAUGAGAAUACGAAAUUAAAUGGUAUCGAUCGAGAUGAUAUCGAUGUCACUUCUGCCAAAAAAGAUUCAUCCGAGCUUCCUAAAGAGGAAUCGAAGGAAAUUCCGAUUUAUUCAACAACGAGUAAGGAAGUAACAAUUGACGAAGAAAAAUCGCAAAUUAUUAGUAAAGAAACGAAAAAUGUUUGUUCGAUUACUAAAACAUAUGCGAGACAACACGAAGAUAGUGGCAUCGAGAUGUCACCAACGAAACGAGAUAAAGAUGAUCUCGAUGGUGAGGAGUUUUUGGAAAAUGCUAGGAAGGCGAUAAUAGAAAAAAUGGUGGACGGAAAUGAUACGAGGGAGACUAUGGACAAGAGUCCGGAAGGAUCUGUUGAAGAUUCGCGAACGAUUGCUGAGGAUAAAGAACAUUCGCAGGAACAGAAUUCUACUACUACUACUACCGGGAGUACACCUACUACUACCAUAAGUACUAUAGCUGUGCAAAGUGGAGAAACGCGUUUGGUUAUCGCGUUAUUACAGAGUGGAGAAUGGUUACGAUUGAAAGUAUUGGAGGUGCAACCGGAAUUAACGAAACUUGGUUCUUCGGUUAAAGAAGCCACAGAAUUAUCGAACUCACACAAUGAAGUUCUUCUGCGAUUGCAGAGUAAACAAAGUCCGGUUGAAGAAUUAUUACGUCAAGCUGAUCAAUUGAUAUCAACUCAAAGACCAAGGGCUGAAAUUUAUGCAGCAAUGGCAGAAACUUUGGGUCAAGCAUGGCGUGACGUUAAUGAUUUAUUGGAAAGAAGAAAACAAAUUCUUGAUUGUAACGUAUUGUUUCAAUGUCGUGCAGAAGAAUGUGGUGAAAGUAUGAAAGCACUCGAGAUGGCAUGCAACGAUCAUUUGUUACCAAUCGAAAUAGAUGCUGUUAAAAAUUUUCUAUCCAAGAUACACGAUCUUCGUAAAACCAUGUUGGAAGCUUUGAUGGGUGCAUUGCAAGAAGGAAAAACGUUGUUGGAUAAAUUAAAAGAAAUUGCAAACGAAGGUACUUUGGAUUCAAGACCGGAUAAAAUCAAAAUUGAUGCUGAUCAUGCGGUUUUGAAGGUAGAAAGAUGGUUGGAAGAUCUCCAUGAUAAAAGACGUUUAAUCGAAGCUUCAUUUCGUAGUAGAAAAACACAAUUGGAACAAUGUUUAGCUCUUGCAUUAUUGGCUACCGAUUUACGUGAUUUGGAAGAGAUUUUGAACGAUAGGAUUUCUGCCUUGUCAAGUAGUUGUGAUCAAUUAGGUGAUACUUCAUCAAGUGCUGAAUUACUUCUUUUCGAAUUGAAGAAAUUGCAAACUGAAGCUAAGGAGUUUCAAGAUCGAUCAAUCAAGAUUACGAAAUCAACCGAACGAUUGGUGUCAUCGGGACACUUUGCCGGUGAACAAGCAACAGAACAAGCAUACGCUAUACUAGGUGCUGCAGCUGAUUAUGUCAACGAUUUGGAUCAGUAUGAGACAUUGUUGAACAGAGCCGUGGCAUUUUUCGAGGCCGCACGUUCGGCUAUUACGAAAUUGGAUCAAUUGGAGAUUCAACUGGUUACGACAGAACAUCCACCGUUUUCAACACGCUUAGCACGUUUCCAUGGUCAGAUGGUUAACACGAUCGAGGAUGUUACUUCUAAACCUUUGAUGGAAGGAUACGCAUUGCUUGAUAUUACGGGAAGAGGUGCGCCCGGAGCUGAGGGUGUGAGACGUACAGUUGAAGAAUUGGAGAAUCGUAAGAUACGUUUAUUGCAACGAUGUACAGCAAAUGAGGAAGAAAAUCUUGAAAUAUCAAGAAUGAUUAAUAUAUUUUUGGAAAAAUAUGAAGAAUUGCACGUAUGGUUGACCAACAUUGCUGAAGCUUUUCUACAAGGUCAUCAAGAUAUGGGCAGUGAUUUACCAAUGGCCAAAGAUUUUUAUAAACUUCACGAUCAAUUGUUAAAUGAUUUGGAUAAACGUAAUAACGAGGUUGAACAUUUGGAAUUUGAGAUAUUACCGAUACGUGAAAGAUUGGAUGAAUCGCAAAAACAUGAAUUUCAUACGAAAAUUAUCGAAUUGCAAAAUUCAUGGGCUAAAACAAAGAACAUUGUUGCUCGAAGAGUUGAUCUUGGUUAUCUUUAUGUACAAUUUCAUGAGAUAGUUGAAGAAUUGAGAAAUAAAAUAGAAUUGUUUGAUAAUAAUUUGGAAAAUUGUACAGAGGAAUCUAAAAUUGAUGAUUUGAUGAACAAAUGGAAAACAAUUCAAUCGAUUUAUUUGAAAUUGUCGAACAGUGGCAAAGUUUUCUUAGACGAAGCAGCCAAGAUAAAUGAUCCAUAUUUGGAUGUAACCAGAGCAUGUUUAUGCGUGCAAACUUUGUUAGAAAUAUUUGCAAACAGACAAUUAACAAUCACAGAAUCUUGGGAAAAAUGGCAAACGACUAUUAAAAUAUUGAAAGAACGACGAAUCGAACAUGAACGAAAAAUCGAAGAAAGUACCAAGACGUUAGAAUGGGUUUCGAAAUUUGGUGAACAAUUGUAUCCAGUUAUAACAUGUCAAUCAAUACGUAUUGAUUCGAUACUUCGUGAUUUGGAAGGAUCCAAAAGACGUAUUUUACCUGAAUUAAACAAAGCAGUUGACGAAUUAGAUUCAAGAAUUAAAAGUAUCGAUAAUUUGGUAGAAAAAGGUGAGAUGCACGUUGAUCAACAAAUUAAAGAAAAAUUAUCACAGAUGUACGAAAAAUUGCAUACAACUGCUAAAAAUUACAAAGAUUUGUUGACAUCAUUAAUUUCAAUAUUUGAAAAUCUUCACGAGGUUGAACACAAAAUAGAAGAAUCUAAAACAAAAGUUGAUCAUGUCACAUCAUUUUCGAAAUCUUACGACGUUGAUUCAGUUUUGAACGACUUCGAAACGAACAAACGAACGAUUACGGAAUCUUUGAAACAUAUUCAAACAGAAAUUGAAAUAAUCAUUGGUAAAAUUAAAUUAUUGGAACCACCGGAAGCUGCUUUACAGGAUAUUGACAAAUUAAGAUUAGCAUUGGACAAUGUUGUUUCACCUUUUCAAACAUUUACCGUUCAAACUUUAACUCGUAUUGAAGAACAUCGUAGAAUUUGUAUCUUCAGUGAAGAUCUUUCACGAAUUGAUUCGGAUUUGCGAGAUUUAAAUGAACAAUUGCAAACGGUUGAUGCAAGAUUUAACGAAAAUUUGCAAGCUGCCAAAACUGCUGCUAAUGCUUUCAAUCAAUUUGAAGCAACCAUGACGAUGUUGGAACAAAGAAUUGAUGUAUUUGUUAGAACAACUGAAAAAACCAUUGUGAUUUCAACCCCGCACGUUAGAAACGAUUUGACAUCGUUGAAAGAAAGAUGGAGGGAUUUGAAAUCACGUAUGGAAAAUAUUAAAAAACGUAUGGUUUUGUGUAUACAAUAUUUCGAAUUAUUGGAAGAAGCCAAAGAAUGGUACAGAGAAGGUGGUAAACUUUUGAUAGUAAUCGCUAGAAAAGCAACAAGUGUUAAAGUUCCAAAAGAUGCUAUGGAUUUACUUCAAGAAAUUGAAAAUUAUUUAAAACCUGGUGAACAAAAUCAAGAUAAUAGAAUCGAAAGAUUGAAAGAAUUGUCAACACUUACAUUUGGCAUUGACAGAUUACCACAGUUCAAUGAAAUUAUCGUUGAAAAUCGUCAAAUGUUGGAUUCAUUCGCUGUAAUUUCAUCAGAAUUGCGUACAUUGAUUCAAAAUUUACAAAAUGCCGAAGAUUUGAGAGAAAAAUUGAGAAUAGAAAAGUUAGAAGCUGACGAAAAGUUGCAUGCUGUUAAAAAAGAAAUGGCAGCUGCUGAAGCAGCCAGGUUGGAAGCUGAAAAUGCGAGAAAAAUUGCGGAAAAACUUGCAGUUGAAACUUUGGAACGUGCAGAAAUAGAAGCUAAUAGAUUGAAAGAAGAACAACUCGCUAAAAUUGAAGCACAAAAAGUUUCUACACCAACACCAACACCACCACCACCGAUGUCAUUUUCUGUAUCGGCUCAAACGGAUAAAUUUGAUGGUGCAGAUGAAAAAUAUAUUCAUGAAACUCAUACUUCGGCUGUUACCAAAAAAGAAAUUCAUAUUUUGGAAAAGAUGAAAAUAGAAAAGAUUGUACCAAUUGUUCAAAAAGAACCAAGCCCACCAAAACAAAUGAUAGUUGAAGAAUCCCAUAAAACAAUGGUGUACGAAACUGAGGAAAAAGUAUCCCCAGAAUUUACCAUUCCAUUGAACGAUGCAACUGUUCAAGAAGGUGAAAGAUUUACAUUUGAAUGCCGUUUAAUUGGUUAUCCAAUACCAGAAGUUGUUUGGUAUAAAGAUGGAAUAUCAAUUUUAAAUAAUCCUGAUUAUCUUACAACAUUUCAUCAAGGAAUUUGUACACUUACGAUUGAAGAAACAUUUGCAGAAGAUUCAGCAAAAUUCACUUGCAAAGCAUUCAAUAAUUUUGGUUCUGCUGAAACAUCUGCAACAUUAACAGUAAAAGAAACUGCACCGGAGGAACAACCAAGUCCUCCAGUUUUCAUCAAAGAAUUAAAACAAUCAACUGCAAUUGAAGGUAAUUCGUACAGACUAGAAUGUACAGUUGAAGGUAAUCCAUUACCAACAGUUCAAUGGUACAAAAAUGAAACCAAUAUUGAUAAUUCUCCUGAUUAUAUUAUAACUUAUAACAAUGGGGAAGCUUGUAUGAGUUUUGAUGAAGUAUUUUUAGACGAUAAAGGAAUUUAUACUUGCAAAGCAACCAAUAGGCUUGGACAAGUGUCUACUUCUGCAGUGCUUGAUGUUAAAUCCAUAGAAACGUCUACAGAAAAACCAUAUUUCUUGAUACCAUUGUCAAAUGCUAUGGCAAGAGCUGGACAAAGAGUUAAAUUGGAAUGUGAAGCUACUGGUAAUCCAAUGCCACAAUUAUUUUGGACUCAUGAUGGAAAACCAAUUGAUGAGACCACUCACACCAAAAUACAAACGGAGAGUGGUCGUACAAGUUUGAUCAUUUCCGAAGCAUUUCCAAAAGAUGCUGGUUGUUAUACGGUGACAGCUAAAAAUGAUAUUGGUGAAGCCAGUGUAUCCUGCAAUGUAUCCGUCAAAGGACUUUUACGUCGUGAAACAAGCGAUUCUGAAUUUGCUUGCAGCGACAUGGAACCAACAGAACCCAAAAUUCAACUACGUUUGAAGGAUCACGAAGUUUUCGAAGGACAUUCUGUUAGAUUGGAUUGUGUUAUUGUUGGACAACCUGAACCUGAGGUUAUUUGGUAUCACAAUGAUAAACCUGUAAAAGAGUCCGUAGAUUUUCAAUUAUUAUUUCAAGGUGACAAAUGUUCUUUGAUUAUUCACGAAGCUUACGUUGACGAUGCAGGUGUAUACAAAGUUGUUGCAAUUAAUUCUGGUGGUGAAACGUCUAGUCAAUGUACAUUAAAAGUACUACCAAUUGCUCGUAAUUUGGAAGAAGCUGAUGCGAAGGACAAAGAAAUACCAGUUUCAUCGUCACCAAGUUCACCACCAAAGUUCGUCAAAUUGCCAACCGAUUCUUUGGUUGCCGAAGGGGAGGAUGCAAGUUUUGAAUGUGCGGUGACAGGUGAACCAAAACCGGAAGUCAAAUGGUACUUUGAUAACAACGAAAUCAAAACUGAUAAUAGAAUUUUAAUAAAAGAAAAAGAAGAUGGUACGAUAACGUUAAAAAUUUUAUCAACCAUACCAGAAGACAAAGGUAAUUACGUGGUAAAGGCCACGAAUAUUAGCGGAGAAGCAAAAGCAUUCGCCAGAUUGGUUGUCAGAUCAUUGACAGACUUCCGAAAAAAAGAAGAAUUUGUUAAAAUGGAAGAAAAAUUGAUAGCACCUAGUUUCAAAGAAAGAUUUAUCAACAGAUUCGUACCGGAAGGUGUGUCAACCAAAUUUGAAUGCAUCGUUGUUGGUAAACCCGUACCUAAGAUUCAGUGGUUGUUCAACGAUCGACCUGUCCAUGGAAAAGAUUUUUUGGUUUCCGUUAGUGGAGAUCGGCAGGUAUUAACUAUACCAGAAACCGAAAGUUCGCAUGCUGGAACAAUAUCCUGUGUGGCGGAAAACACCGCCGGUAAGGCUACUUGCAACGCCAAAUUAGAAAUCGGUAUCGAACCGAAGAGGGAAGAAGAAGGUACAGAAAGGUUACUUCAGUUGGUUGAAAUAAAACCUGUCGAAGACAUGCACGCAUCAAGUAGUAGUGAUAAACAUUUUACGGCUGAAAAAAUGUCGGACGAGACUGGAUUAUCGGGUAGUCAAAUUUUAACAAAAAUGUCACAAACUAUUACGGAAUCAAAAACAACUCAUACAUCUACGAAAAAAGAAUUUAUAUCAUCGAUGAUGUCUUCGUCAAUGGGAACACCUGGACAAGAACCUACGAGUGUUACUGUUAAAAGUACUGUUCAUAGUACUGAACAAUCAACUUCUGAAAAUAAUGCACCGCCUGUUGUUCAAUCACAGAAAAUUGAAGAAUUCGAAAAGAUAAUUCAAGAUCAACCUGGUGAAAUUCGUCAAGAAAAAACCGUAGUAGUGUCACAAGGAGAGGAAGGUAUAAAACGUGAUGGGAAAACUGCACAAGUACAAAAACCAAGUAGAAAAUCAACAGCACCAAGAUUUGUAUCGCCAUUAACAGGAAUGAUAGUUGAUCAAGGUGCUGAUAUCAUUCUCGAAGGAAUCGUAGAUGGUUACCCCCAACCAAAUAUUUCUUGGUCAAAGAACGGACAGGAAUUACAAGCAAAGGAUGGUGCUAAGACGAGUUAUACUCACAACCACGUACGUUUAGAAUUAAAAAAUGUCAACGUGAAGAAUGCUGGACGUUACACAUGCACUGCCAACAACGAAGUUGGUUCUGCUAGCAGUACUGCUGAUCUUGUAGUCAAAAAAACCAUCUUCCCACCUGUAUUUGGUAGACGUUUGCAAGCACAAGUUGUCAAACGUGGUGACCGUGUGAUUAUGGAAGUUGAAAUUACUGGAACCCCAGAACCUACUGUAACUUGGUACAAAGAUGAUAUUCCAAUUAAAGAACAACCACCAUCAUUAAGAAUAAGACAACAAGGCAACUGUUAUAUAUUGCAGAUUGAUAAAGCUGAAAAAACACAUGCUGGAAAAUAUAUGGUACGUGCAAUCAAUGCUGGAGGUGAAGCACAAAGUAUUGCAGAUUUUGCUGUUUUUGAACCAACACCCGACACCAUGACGGAAGUACACAAAACGGUUAUUUACGAGAACGUUCAAGAUAAAAAGAUUAUUCAGCCUGACGUGAAAAAGGUUGAUGAUGUACCGUCAGCAACGACAACUUUGAAGACUGAGCAGAUAACAGGGAUGACAACGAUCCAACCAAGUUCAAUAUUAAAAACAAUUCCAACUCCUAGUCCAGCACCAAUAACUACAACACCAAUACUACCAUCUUCCUUAUCCACAAUUCGUAAAACUGAAGUAAUCGAUGAAAUUCCCGAAAUGAAAACUUGCCGAUCAGAAAAAAUUUCGUCAACAUUUGAAUCCCAUCAAACUGAAACUAAAUCUGAACAAAAGUUUCAUAUGAAAUUGGAACACAAAACUCCGCCAAUAAUCGAACCGAAAGCUCGUCCUGAGCUAACGACCACGGUAAAAAAGGUUGUUCAAGAAGAUUUUACUUCAAAAUUGAUCGAACCACCUUCUGUUGCGACCGUGGAAGAACAAACGAAAAUCGAAAACGAAAAUAUAGAAACAUCGACCAUUGCGAAAAAAGAUGCGUUAAGUUUUUUCGAAUCUAUUACGAAAGAAAGUGAAACUGUGCCUAAAGGACCCAAAGAAAUGAUCAAAUUGAUCGAUGAUAGUGAUGGAAAGGGUCACGAGGUUAAAGUUGGAAAAUUAACUCAAAGUUACGAACGAUCAACUGGAUAUCAAGAAAUCAAAAAACCCGAACCUAAACCAAUGGAUUUUCAAACUACUAAAAAAUCUGUUCAAGAUAUUUUCACUAAAUUAGAACACGGAUCAUCAACCCGUGGUGUUGAUAAUAAAUUAUUUGAUUUUCCAUAUUCGGAUUACAAAUCACCAUUGUUAGAUACUAAAAAAACCAUUAUGGAAGAUAUCACAAUAUCAAGUUCACCGAUUGAGAGUAGUGCAUCAAUGUUUACAAGAUUAGAAACUAAAUCAGAAAGUAGUGAAACUAUGAUGAAAGGAUUUACAUUGGUACCAGAACCACCACCUGAAAUAGGAUACAUGCCUAAACCUGAUGAGAUUAAAAAAAAGAGUCCCGAGGUACCAAUCAAAGCUAAACAACUUCAAGAAUCCUUCGAGAAAACAUUAUCCCCAAUAGAUGCUCCGAUUGGUGGAGUGAAAAUAUUUCCUACGGUUCCUCAAAAGGUUAUAGAAAGUCCUAAGAUUGUUAAGAAACCAUCAACUAUGCCACCACCGCCAUUUGAGUUAGAUAAAAAGGAAGUUGUUGAAGAAGUGUGCAUUAAAAAGGACGUUCAUGAGAAAAAGGAUAGCAGUAAAAUGUUGAAGGAAGAAAAAAUAGAAUCACCAAAGUUUGUUUCAGUACCAAGCUACAUCAGACCGGUUUCACCUGCAAGACCAUGGUCUUCAUCGUCAGAUGUUGAAACGAGAUCUCACGUAUCUACGGAUAUUUCUGAAUACAGGUGUCAUUCAGCUGCUUCUAGUCAUCAGGAAAUAUUACGAUCGAUAUCACCGAGACCUUCUGUUGAUGGUUUAGCUAUGGAAAAAUCAUGGGCUAAGAAAAAUACGGAAGCUACGAGAAAAUCUUGGCCACCACAACCACCAACACCGAGUGAUACAACUCCAACGUUGAUCAAACAAUUUCCUGGUGAAGAUUAUAAAACAUCGACGAAAGAAUUUAAACAGGAAACUGAACAGACACCUGAUGGUGGUGUCAAAAAGACUAGUAUUGAAUCAUCGAGUAGUUUGGAAAAACAUUCUUGGAGUAGUAAACAAGAAUCGAUGGAAAAAAUUGUAGAAAAAGCUCCGUCCCCAUCUAAAGUGGUACCACCGAUCAUUUACAAAGCUGAAACAAUUAAAGUUGAUCAUGCUAUCAAUACGAUUCAAGAACAAUCAAUGCGUGAAAAGUAUUCAUCAGAAUGUGACGUACAAAAACAAUCGAGUUCGGAAAAAAUAGUUGAAGAAUAUUCCUUGAAGAGUCCUUGGUCUGUUGGAACGGAUUUGAAAGCACCAGGAUUGGUGAAAAGUGUUGAACCACCGAAAAAAAUAUACGUUCCACCUACUCAAGAAUCAUCAAAAAAAAUGACAGAAUCUUAUUCGUAUGAUUCGGUUAUUUUAGAACCUGGUCCACCACCGGAAAUUGGCUAUGUUCCACCACCAAUGGUAAAAGAGAAAAAAAUAGAAAUGUCAGUGGAAACCAAACCAGCUAAGAUACCACCGAGUACUAUUAAAACAAUACCAUCGUCAGUUUUACAAAAAAAGGAAGAAUCACCACCAGUCUUACCACCCAAAGAUGUUAAAAUGACGCCACCACCGUUACCUGCUAAACAACAAUCAUCUUUGGAUAAUUUAGAACCAUUUCCGUUCAAACCAUCACCGUCACCAACUCAAACGAAACCAGUCACGAAAGUUGUACCACCUGUUACGACCCCAACUAAAUUUGUCAAAGGAACUUUCGGCAGUGAUUACGAAUCUGACAUGGAUAUUCACGUUAAACCAAAAUGGCGACCGUACGAAAGUGACAGUGAAGAACCACGUUAUCGUAGAGUACAAGCACCAGUUUCCAAACAAACGGUUAGACCAAGAUCAACCGAACCUGAACCAUUACCACCAUCCAAAUUCGACACGCCACCGGUUGAAUUUUCAGGUCCAUCCAAAUCUAUGCUGACUGAAGAAUCUCAACAGAAAAUGUAUAAGAAAACAACAUUCAAACGUCACGAAAGGGAAACAACCAAACAACAGCAACAACAACCGAAAUAUCAACCACCAAUUCAACCACAAACUCCACCAAUCGUUUUAAAACCAGGUUCCCCGCCAAUUUACGUUCAACCUUCAACAAUCAGCAAACCUCAGCCACCUAAAUCUCCACCAACAAAGAAACCAGAGUCUCCUAAAUUCAAGGUUAAAACUUUCCAACAGGAGAGUGGUUACAUGGCGGAUACUGAUGAACCAUUGCAACAAAAAGCAUCCAAUAUUACCAUUCAAAAAAGUUUUGGCAAACAUGAUGGUUCGACUAGUUCAACCAGCAGUUCACACAUGGAAUCUCGUACGUCGUAUUCUGAAAGCAAAUCUGAAUACUUUGAAAGUAAAAGUUAUCAUAGUCAUCAACAACAACAGAAAAAAGAAAUAUCAUCAUUCGUUCCAAUUACUACUAUUACAACACCAUCUCCUAGUUCUUUUCCAAGUCAAAAACCUACCCCACAACAGAGAACUUCAUUUGUUGAGAAGACAUAUUCUUCAUCGAGUGGAACCGAGCCUACUAAAUUAAAAACUUCGAAGGAGACAGUUUUUACCACGGAUCAUUCUACCCAUCGUAAAAUGGAAUCAACGCGCAAAGUUCAAGGACCCUCUCCAAGCCCUUCCAAAUUUGUCAAGGGCGAGUUUCGUGAGAGCGAUUACGAAAGUGAUUACGAUGGUAGAAUAUCAUCAGUUUGGAAACCUCGAACAACCAUUGAAACCGAUGAUCGUUCCUUUAAACCGGUGAAACCUACUCUAACUGGUCCAGCUUACAACAAGUAGACACCUCCCGGCAAAGCUUUCUUCUUCUUCUUCUUCUCCUAUCGUAGUAAAAUCUCACGAGACAAGUUUCUCCUAUCUUCCUGCUUCGCUUGUCUCACUAUCAUAUCUUUACUCUUCUUGGCUACUUCUGAGAAAAUCAAAGGAACCGAUCGUAUCAACAUUGCAACCUGAUAAAAUAAUUGAAAAAACAUCAACGAAAGAACAAUACGAGCAAGAU